AGUGAACGCUGGCGGUAGGCCUAACACAUGCAAGUCGAACGGCAGCACAGUAAGAGCUUGCUCUUACGGGUGGCGAGUGGCGGACGGGUGAGGAGUACAUCGGAAUCUACUUUUUCGUGGGGGAUAACGUAGGGAAACUUACGCUAAUACCGCAUACGACCUACGGGUGAAAGCAGGGGAUCUUCGGACCUUGCGCGAUUGAAUGAGCCGAUGUCGGAUUAGCUAGUUGGCGGGGUAAAGGCCCACCAAGGCGACGAUCCGUAGCUGGUCUGAGAGGAUGAUCAGCCACACUGGAACUGAGACACGGUCCAGACUCCUACGGGAGGCAGCAGUGGGAAAUAUUGGACAAUGGGCGCAAGCCUGAUCCAGCCAUACCGCGUGGGUGAAGAAGGCCUGCGAGUUGUAAAGCCCUUUUGUUGGGAAAGAAAAGCAGCAGGUUAAUACCCCGCUGUUCUGACGGUACCCAAAGAAUAAGCACCGGCUAACUUCGU
rnacentral:rRNA from 1 species